AUCCAUAAAGUUCCUAGAACAUAAUACUGAAGAUAUUAAAGAGACCUGUCUAUGUAAU
rnacentral:tRNA from 1 species